UCCGGCUUAUCACCGGCGGUCCCCUUAGAGUGCUCAACUCAAUGGUAGCAACUAAGGGCGAGGGUUGCGCUCGUUGCGGGACUUAACCCAACAUCUCACGACACGAGCUGACGACAGCCAUGCAGCACCUGUCACCGAGUUCCUUGCGGCACCCCCAUGCAUCUCUGCUAGGGUUCUCGGGAUGUCAAGACCAGGUAAGGUUCUUCGCGUUGCAUCGAAUUAAACCACAUGCUCCACCGCUUGUGCGGGCCCCCGUCAAUUCCUUUGAGCUUCAGUCUUGCGACCGUACUCCCCAGGCGGCGAACUUAGCGCGUUAGCUUCGACACUGAGAGCCAAGUUGCUCCCAACGUCCAGUUCGCAUCGUUUAGGGCGUGGACUAC
rnacentral:misc_RNA from 1 species